GUGGGGAAUAUUCCGCAAUGGACGAAAGUCUGACGGAGCAACGCCGCGUGAGUGAUGAAGGUUUUCGGACUGUAAAGCUCUGUUGUUUAGGACGAAAGUGCCUGUUGCAAACAGUUACAGGUAUUGACGGUACUAACCGAGGAAGCCACGGCUAACUACGUGCCAGCAGCCGCGGUAAUACGUAGGUGGCAAGCGUUGUCCGGAAUUAUUGGGCGUAAAGAGCAUGUAGGCGGGAAUCUAAGUCUGUUGUGAAAAUGCGGGGCGCAACCCCGUGAUGGGAUCGAAAAUAUCUUUCUUGAGUGCAGGAGAGGAAAGUGGAAUUCCUAGUGUAGCGGUGAAAUGCGUAGAUAUUAGGAGGAACACCAGUGGCGAAGGCGACUUACUGGACUGUAACUGACGCUGAGGCGCGAAAGUGUGGGGAGCAAACAGGAUUAGAAACCCUUGUAGUCC
rnacentral:rRNA from 1 species